rnacentral:misc_RNA from 1 species
CCAAUAGCGUAUAUUAAAGUUGUUGCAGUUAAAAAGCUCGUAGUUGAACUUCGGGGUUUACCCAUUGGUCAGGCUUAAUUGUCUGUACUGGUGAGAUAAAUCUCUACCUUCUGAGGAACUUUCAUGUCAUUAAUUUGGUGUGAUUGGAAAUCAGGACUGUUACUUUGAAAAAAUUAGAGUGUUUAAAGCAGGCUAACGUCUGAAUACAUUAGCAUGGAAUAAUGAAAUAGGACGGAUUGAUUCUAUUUCGUUGGUUUCUAGGAUCACCGUAAUGAUUAAUAGGGAUAGUUGGGGGCAUUAGUAUUCAAUUGUCAGAGGUGAAAUUCUUGGAUUUAUUGAAGACUAACUACUGCGAAAGCAUUUGCCAAGGAUGUUUUCAUUAAUCAAGAACGAAAGUUAGGGGAUCGAAGACGAUCAGAUACCGUCGUAGUCUUAACCAUAAACUAUGCCGACUAGGGAUCGGACGAAGUUAAUUUUAUAAUGACGCGUUCGGCACCUUACG